rnacentral:lncRNA from 1 species
AUGCCCUACUGGAUACACAAAGUAGUAUUUGUAGACCAAGAGGUAUGCCAGAGUAUAGGUGCACGUUCGCAGCCAGUGAAGUUGAAACUUACCACUAUGAUGGGCAGAGACUCCCUUGUCCAUAGUGAAAGGGUUAGUGAGCUUAGAGUAAGAGCUUUCAACUCCCAAAGCUUUAUCAACUUACCACCUGCCUGUACUAGAGACUUCAUCCCUCUCGAGCCAUCCCACAUUCCCACCUCUGAAACAGCCAAAAGGUGGAAACACCUGAUCCCUAUAGCACACGAAAUCCCAGAGUUGAUGGAUUGUAAGGUCAGACUCCUGAUCGGUUAUGAUUGCUCCAGAGCAUUAGCACCACGACGUGUCAUCACGGGAGGCGACAAUGAGCCAUAUGCCAUUCAAACCGAUCUAGGCUGGAGUGUGGUCGGCAGCUCACCACAAACAGCAAAGUUGACUGAGGUGACAGGUUUGUGCCAUCGUGUGGCUGUUAAAGAACUUCCACCACUAACACCAACUAUUGUCAUCAGAGCCCUUGAAUCGGACUUCAAGGACACAAACCCAGGCGAAAAAUGUGUAUCCCAAGAGGACAUUCAUUUCACACAUUUACUAAAUGAAGGAAUACGCCAGAACGCUGAUGGGCACCUUGAAAUGCCUCUCCCAUUUAAGACACGCCCACAAUUACCAGAAAACAAACUUCUAGCCCAGGUAAGGCUUAAAUAUCUGAAGAGAAAAUUCGAGAAAAAUCCCAAACUUAAGACUGACUAUGUUAAAUUCCUGGAAGGUGUAUUUAAAGACAGUGAUGCAGAAAGAGCUGAAAACCAACCCAAAAGAGGAAACGUGUGGUAUAUUCCUCAUCAUGGGGUAUAUCAUCCUCGAAAGCCAGACAAAAUCAGAGUUGUUUUUGACUGUUCAGCCAAAUUUGAAGGCACAGCUCUGAAUGAUCACCUGUUAGCUGGACCUGAUCUCACCAAUGGGCUCACAGGAGUGCUCUGCAGAUUCCGCAAACAUCCAAUUGCAGUCAUCUGUGAUGUAGAAAAGAUGUUUCACAGAUUUCAUGUAAGCCAAGACGACAGAGACUACUUACGUUUUUUGUGGUGGGAAAAUGGCGAUACAAGUUUAGAACCAAAGGAAUAUCGGAUGAAAGUUCAUCUUUUUGGGGCAACAUCUUCUCCUGGUUGUGCGAAUUACGGAAUGAAGUAUCUGGCCAGUCAGAAUGAAAACGAGUAUCCUGCAGCAGCCAAUUUUAUCAGAAAGAUUUUUUAUGUUGAUGAUGGCCUCAUCAGCGUAGAUUCUGUGGAAGCAGCCAUCCGACUUGUUGGAGAAGUACAAGACGUGUGUUCAAGGGGGAAAUUACAUCUUCACAAGUUCAUCUCCAACAGCAGAGAAGUCUUGGAGUCUGUCCCUGACACUAAACGAGCUAAACAAGAACUUAACGAUGUAGAUCUCAGCUAUAAUGAACUACCAAUACAAACUGUGCUGGGAAUAAGGUGGAAUGUGAAGAGUGACACGUUCUCCUUCAAGGUUGCUCUAGAUGAAAAGCCAACAACUCGACGUGGGAUUCUAUCAACUGUAGCCUCAAUGUUUGAUCCACUUGGCUUCCUGGCCCCCUUUCUUCUGCUGGGAAAGCAAGUACUACAGGAGAUGUGUCAAAGGGGCAUUGGAUGGGAUGAACCACUCCCUACAGAAUUAAAGCCACAAUGGGACAGUUGGCUUAACGACCUUAAGAAGCUACAACAACUCCAAAUCCCAAGAUGCCUUGUUUUGGAAGACCCUAGCAAGGUUCUGAGAGUUGAACUACAUCACUUCUCAGAUGCAAGUAGCCAUGGAUAUGGUCAGUGCUCUUACAUGAGAGUAGUGAGUGGAGACAGGGUGCAUUGCUCCUUAGUCAUUGGUAAAGCCAGGGUGGCACCCACCAAGAUUGUAACUAUACCAAGGUUGGAAUUAACUGCAGCAGUGGUUUCUGCAGCAGUUAGCAGCAUGUUGAGGGAGGAGUUGGAGCUCAAAAUUGACGAGGAAUACUUUUGGACAGAUUCCCAGGUGGUCUUAGGCUACAUUAACAAUGAAGCGAAGAGAUUCCAUGUGUUUGUAGCAAAUCGCGUUCAACGAAUCAGAGAGACCACUAAUCCUGCACAGUGGUACUACGUCGAGACUGAUAAGAACCCAGCGGAUCACGCCUCCAGAGGGCUUAAGGUGGAAGAGUUGAUGAACUCGAGUUGGUUCACUGGUCCCAAGUUCCUAUGGGAGAGAGAAAUUGUCAUGCCAAAAUCUACUCCAAAGAUUCUGAUAGGGGAUCCCGAAGUCAAGACAAUACAGACACUGCAAACACAAGCUGAAAAGGAGGACAGGUUUAUAGAGAGGUUUGAACGGUUCUCGAAAUGGCAUACAGCAAUAAAUGUUGUUGUUCGGAUCCAGAAACUAGCAAAGGGAUUAAAACCUACAGAACCUGUCACUGUUGAAGACAGAAGGAAAGCUGGUUUGGCACUGAUCAAACUAGCGCAGAAAGAUAUCUUCAAAGAGGAAAUGCAAAUACUUGAAACAAGACACAGAAAACUUCCACAGAACCACAAACUGUUUCAGCUUGAUCCUGUCUUAGAAGAUGGUGUGCUAAGGGUGGGAGGUCGACUGAGAAAGGCUGCCUUACCUUUGGACGUGAGGCAUCCAGUGAUUCUACCAAGAAAUGGUGUGGUAACCCGCCUCAUCUUAGGCUACUGUCAUGAGAAAACCCAGCACCAAGGCAAAGGGCAAACCCUCAAUGAACUGAGAGCAAAUGGUUACUGGAUUGUUGGGGGCAGCAAGGUUGUAGCAAACUACAUCAACCAGUGUAUUAAAUGCAGAAGAGCUCGAAGGCCUACAGAGAUGCAAAAAAUGGCAGAUCUACCUGCUGCACGAGUCAACCCUUCUCCACCGUUUUCUUAUUGUGGUAUGGAUUGUUUUGGUCCAUUCUACACUAAACAGGGUCGUAAAGAGCAUAAGAGGUAUGGCCUAAUAUUCACCUGCUUAUCCUCCAGAGCAGUGCACAUUGAAAUGGUGGGAGAUCUGUCAACCGACGCUUUCAUAAAUGCUUUACGCUGUUUCAUAGCAAUUUGUGGAAGUGUGAGACAAAUUAGAUCUGAUCAAGGGACAAAUUUUGUUGGGGCAAGAAAUGAAUUAACAAAGGCUCUGCACGAGAUAGACAAAGACAAGGUCACAGCUUACCUAGCAGAAAACCAAUGUGAUUUUACUAUGAAUGUACCUGAUGCCAGUCACAUGGGAGGUGCAUGGGAACAGCAGAUUAGGUCUGUUAGGAGCGUCCUGAGCAGGGCCCUCUCUCAGAGUGCUGGAAGAUUGAAUGAUGCUUCCUUAAGGACUUUCCUAUAUGAAGCCAUGUCAAUCGUGAAUAGUCGUCCACUCACUGUUGAUAAUAUCAAUGAUCCCAAAGGCUUAGAGCCACUUACCCCAAACCACUUACUCACCAUGAAGGCAUCUAUCCCACUGCCUCUACCAGGAAAAUUUGAGAGUGAAGAUCUAUACGCCAGGAAACGAUGGCGUAGAGUUCAGUACUUGACAGAGCAAUUCUGGUGCAGAUGGAGGAAAGAAUAUCUGGCAAGCCUCACCCUCAGACAGCGCUGGCACUCUCCAAAGCGGAAUGUGAAGGUUGGAGAUGUUGUUAUUAUGAAGGAGGAAGGCGUUCUGCGUAAUGACUGGAGACUCGGAAGAGUUCUUGACGUAUGUACAGAUGAAGAUGGUCUGGUGCGGAAGGUCAGAGUUCACGUAGGAAAUAAAGAGUUAGGACAGAAGGGUCAAAGACCCAAGGGUCCCUCUAUUCUUGAAAGCCCCAUACACAAAUUAGUUGUGCUGGUGGAGAAUAACUGA